AAUGGCCGGGACAAAGGGUCGCGAUCCUGCGAGGGUGAGCUAGCCCCAAAAAGCCGUCCUCAGUUCAGAUUGCAGGCUGCAACUCGCCUACACUUCA
rnacentral:ncRNA from 1 species